UGUAGAGAAUUAUGGCCUACCAGUCAGAUCAGUCCGACUAGUUAACGCCAUUGGACCUGAAUCGCAGAUCCUAACGGAGGCAUUCAUUGCGGAAUUCGCGCAGUGAGGAAAUCUCCGACCGCAGGACGCCCGCUGCAGAAGGAGGUUUUCAGAAUUUAAACUGCUUUAGACAGGGAAGAAAAAGGCCAGUACCUGUAGAAUAAGCUCCGGCUAACUACGUGCCAGCAGCCGCGGUAAUACGUAGGGAGCAAGCGUUAUCGGAUUUAUUGGGUGUAAAGGGUGCGUAGACGGGAAGACAAGUUAGUUGUGAAAUCCCUCGGCUUAACUGAGGAACUGCAACUAAAACUGUUUUUCUUGAGUACUGGAGAGGAAAGUGGAAUUCCUAGUGUAGCGGUGAAAUGCGUAGAUAUUAGGAGGAACACCAGUGGCGAAGGCGACUUUCUGGACAGAAACUGACGUUGAGGCACGAAAGUGUGGGGAGCAAACAGGAUUAGAUACCCUGGUAGUCCACACCGUAAACGAUGGAUACUAGGUGUAGGGUGUGAUAAACAUUCUGUGCCGUCGCAAACGCAGUAAGUAUCCCACCUGGGGAGUACGGCCGCAAGGUUGAAACUCAAAGGAAUUGACGGGGGCCCGCACAAGCAGUGGAGUAUGUGGUUUAAUUCGAAGCAACGCGAAGAACCUUACCAGGGCUUGACAUAUACAGGAAUAUUUAAGAGAUUAGAUAGUUCUUCGGAACCUGUAUACAGGUGGUGCAUGGUUGUCGUCAGCUCGUGUCGUGAGAUGUUAGGUUAAGUCCUGCAACGAGCGCAACCCCUAUACUUAGUUGCCAGCAUGUAAAGAUGGGAACUCUAGGUAGACUGCCGGUGAUAAAUCGGAGGAAGGUGGGGACGACGUCAAAUCAUCAUGCCCUUUAUGUCCUGGGCUACACACGUACUACAAUGGCUAUUACAAAGGGAAGCAAUACAGUGAUGUGGAGCAAAACCCAAAAAAGUAGUCUCAGUUCGGAUUGAAGUCUGAAAUUCGACUUCAUGAAGCCGGAAUUGCUAGUAAUGGCAGGUCAGCAUACUGCCGUGAAUACGUUCCCGGGCCUUGUACACACCGCCCGUCACACCAUGAGAGUUGGGAAUACCCGAAGCCUGUGAGCCAACAGUUAAACGAGGCAGCAGUCGAAGGUAGAAUCAAUGAUUGGGGUGAAGUCGUAACAAGGUAAAUCACUGCCGUCGAACCCCA
rnacentral:rRNA from 1 species